ACAGAGCACCCACAAGCCAUUGCAGAUCUUGGUUCUGUUCCUUCCAGAAGCUGCUGCCAGAAAAUCUUGACCUCUUACUUUCUUACUUUCCUGGAGCACUUUACAACCACAUGAUUAUAAAUAAUUUGGGUGACUAUAGCGAUCACAAUCUCUUUGCUAACACACCUCUGCCAUCCAUAAAUUACUUAAGUCAUUGGCCUGAGCUCAUCUUCCACCCAACGCAAGGAUCUAAGUGGAUUGAGGAAGUGAUUUAACUACUGCAAUGCAUUCUCUGUUUCUUCAAUCAGAUCUUGGCACAAAUGCAGUAGGCUUAACACAAGAAGAGCCUCAUCUUUACUAUUCAUAGACAAACAAACAAGCUAAUUAUCCCUUCAUAAAAAGAAGUGUGCCUGGGAAAUGCCUGAGGGCAGCUGCACCCAACUACAGCACAUCGGGUACAUCAGGUAGCCUGUAAUGACACUCGAAAUCAAACUGAUGUCUAUGGCAUGUGUCCAGCAACAGAAAAGAGACUUCACUGAGGGGGCAGCAGGUGCAUGCAGCAGAGGUCCCCCUGUCCCAGUUUUCCAGUUCUAACAGCAGAAAUGAAGAAAGAAGCAGAUCCUGUCAUUAACAAUGGAUUCUGGCACAUUUUAUAUCCCUGACGCUUAAGAGGUUCUCUGGCUUUGCUAUAUUGGGAACUGAUCUGCCACCAGCCUCUCAUAAUGUCCUACUCAUUUCCCUGUCCUGAUAUUAAAGUGUCUGGGCAACUUU